rnacentral:rRNA from 1 species
AUGGCCUGCCCGCUGAUUGAAGGGCCGCGGUAUUUUGACCGUGCAAAGGUAGCAUAGUCAUUAGUUCUUUAAUUGUGAUCUGGUAUGAAUGGCUUGACGAGACAUGGGCUGUCUUUUUGAAUUUGUAUUUUGAGUUAAAAUUCUUAGAUGUUUUUAUGGGACGAGAAGACCCUAUAGAGUUUGACAUUUGGUUUUUUGUUUGUUUUAAAUUUUUGCGUUUGUUUUGUUGGGGUGAUGGGAAGAAUUUUUUAACUCUUCUUUAUUGGUAUAUUGAUUUAUAUUUAUUUUGAUCCAUUUAUUUUGAUUAUAAGAUUAAAUUACCUUAGGGAUAACAGCGUUAUCUUCCCUGAGAGUUCUUAUUGGCGGGGGGGUUUGCGACCUCGAUGUUGGAUUAAGGUUAAUUUUUGGUGUAGGAGCUGAAUUGAUUAGGUCUGUUCGACCUUUAAAAUCUU